rnacentral:lncRNA from 1 species
GGCUCCAAGGAGAUCGCUGAGCAUACAUUCGAAGGUAUCGCCAGAAGCUUGACUGAGCGCAGCAGAUCUCAGUCCCGCAUAAUACUGGUACUUCACACCAAAGUCUUGCAUAAUACUGGUACUUCACAUCAAAGGGAACAAUAAGUUGAUCAUUCUCUCCACUUCCAUUUAUAUCAAAAGAAGGCGACGGGGGCAUUAAGGAAAUUUCCUUUUUCUUCUCGGAAGAAGGAGCAGACCUUUCAUCGGCCCAGAACCUCUUUGGAGCUCGG